AUUGAACGCUGGCGGCAUGCCUAACACAUGCAAGUCGAACGGCAGCACAGUCGUAGCAAUACGAUGGGUGGCGAGUGGCGGACGGGUGAGGAAUGCAUCGGAAUCUGCCCGAUCGUGGGGGAUAACGCAUCGAAAGGUGCGCUAAUACCGCAUGAGAUCGAGAGAUGAAAGCGGGGGACCGCAAGGCCUCGCGCGAUCGGAUGAGCCGAUGCCGGAUUAGCUAGUUGGCGGGGUAAAGGCCCACCAAGGCGACGAUCCGUAGCUGGUCUGAGAGGAUGAUCAGCCACACUGGGACUGAGACACGGCCCAGACUCCUACGGGUGGCAG
rnacentral:rRNA from 1 species